rnacentral:rRNA from 1 species
GACGAACGCUGGCGGCGUGCUUAACACAUGCGAGUCGAACGGAAAGGCCCUUCUUUUGUGGGGUGCUCGAGUGGCGAACGGGUGAGUCACACGUGAGUAACCUGCCCUUGACUUUGGGAUAACUUCAGGAAACUGGGGCUAAUACCGGAUAGGAGCUCCUGCUGCAUGGUGGGGGUUGGAAAGUUUCGGCGGUUGGGGAUGGACUCGCGGCUUAUCAGCUUGUUGGUGGGGUAGUGGCUUACCAAGGCUUUGACGGGUAGCCGGCCUGAGAGGGUGACCGGCCACAUUGAGACUGAGAUACGGCGCAGACUCCUACGGGAGGCAGCAGUGGGGAAUAUUGCACAAUGGGCGGAAGCCUGAUGCAGCAACGCCGCGUGCGGGAUGACGGCCUUCGGGUUGUAAACCGCUUUCGCCUGUGACGAAGCGUGAGUGACGGUAAUGUGUAAAGAAGCACCGGCUAACUACGUG